rnacentral:rRNA from 1 species
AUGGCCCUCGCCACCGCCGCGGCCGCCGCGGCCAUCUCCAUCCACCCAUUCCUCAGCCGCCCGGCCAGCGUGCUCCGGUGCGGCCGCCGCGUCCCGCCGCUCCUCCUCCUCCGCGCUACCUCCUCGGCCUCCUCCGCCUCGGACUUCAACAUCACCUUCGCGGAGCCCGCGCCCGCCCCGUCCAAGCGCUCGCCCGGCGGCCCGUCCGCGCAGCCGCUGGUUCCGUGGAUCGCGCGCGGGGCCGACGGCAAGCCAUCCCUCCACACCUCGCCGCCGCCGGACGUCCUCCAGGCCGUCGCCGCCGCGGAGGCGGAGGCCAAGAGGGCCGCCAAGAGGGGCCAGAGGCAGGGCCCCGCCGCCGACGCCCCCGUCGCCAGCGUCAGGGUCAAGGAGAAGAAGGCCUCCCCGACCGCGCCGCCCAAGUUCUCCAAGGCGGCCAGAAGGUUCUACAACGAGAAUAUCAAGGAGCACGAGCCGCAGCGCCUCGCCAAGGUCCUCGCCGCCGCAGGAGUGGCCUCAAGAAGGACCAGCGAGGAGCUCAUCUUCCAAGGGAAGGUGACUGUCAAUGGUUCUGUCUGCACUGCUCCCCAGACCAAAGUAGACAUCUCAAAGGAUUCUAUCUACGUUAACGGGAAUCGCAUUUCCAAGAAGCUGCCUCCAAAGCUCUAUUUUGCUGUGAACAAGCCAAAAGGGUAUAUUUGCUCGUCUGGUGAAGAGAAGUCUGUUAUCUCCUUAUUGGAUGACUAUUUGAAAGGAUGGAACAAACUUCAGCCAGGAGUACCAAAACCCCGCUUGUUUACUGUGGGUCGUCUUGAUGUUGCCACAACUGGUUUGAUAAUAGUUACAAAUGAUGGUGAAUUUGCCCAGAAAGUCUCACACCCUUCUUCAAACAUAACAAAGGAAUAUGUAGUAACUAUAGAUGGAGCAGUGCACAAGAAACACCUUGUAGCUAUCAGCGGAGGAACAGUAAUUGAUGGUGUUAAGGUUGUUCCUGAUUUAGUAGAGCCACUGGAUGCCCAAGCUGACACAAAAAGGACGCGACUUAAAAUAGUGGUUCAUGAAGGAAGAAACCACGAAGUUCGUGAACUUGUGCAGAAUGCAGGACUAAAGGUCUACGCUUUGAAACGUGUUCGGAUAGGCAGGUUCCGCCUCCCAUCAGACCUGGGAAUUGGGAAGAUGGUUGAACUUAAAGAAGCUGACAUCAAGGCACUAGAUGGCAACAGCUAG